AGUGAACGCUGGCGGUAGGCCUAACACAUGCAAGUCGAACGGCAGCACAGUAAGAGCUUGCUCUUACGGGUGGCGAGUGGCGUACGUGUGAGGAAUACAUCGGAAUCUACUUUUUCGUGGGGGAUCACGUAGGGAAACUUACGCUCAUACCGCAUACGACCUACGGGUGAAAGCAGCGGAUCUUCGGACCUUGCGCGAUUGAAUGAGCCGAUGUCGGAUUAGCUAGUUGGCGGGGUAAAGGCCCACCAAGGCGACGAUCCGUAGCUGGUCUGAGAGGAUGAUCAGCCACACUGGAGCUGAGACACGGUCCAGACUCCUAAGGGAGGCAGCAGUGGGGAAUAUUAGACAAUGGGCGCAAGCCUGGUCCAGCCAUACCGCGUGGGUGAAGAAGGCGUUCGGGUUGUAAAGCCCUUUUGUUGGGAAAGAAAAGCAGCAGGUUGAUACCCCGCUGUUCUGACGGUACCCAAAGAAUAAGCACCGGCUAACUUCGUG
rnacentral:rRNA from 1 species